CCCAGAAGCGGGGGACAACAUUUGGAAACAGAUGCUAAUACCGCAUAACAACGUUGUUCGCAUGAACAACGCUUAAAAGAUGGCUUCUCGCUAUCACUUCUGGAUGGACCUGCGGUGCAUUAGCUUGUUGGUGGGGUAAUGGCCUACCAAGGCGAUGAUGCAUAGCCGAGUUGAGAGACUGAUCGGCCACAAUGGGACUGAGACACGGCCCAUACUCCUACGGGAGGCAGCAGUAGGGAAUCUUCCACAAUGGGCGCAAGCCUGAUGGAGCAACACCGCGUGAGUGAAGAAGGGUUUCGGCUCGUAAAGCUCUGUUGUUAAAGAAGAACACGUAUGAGAGUAACUGUUCAUACGUUGACGGUAUUUAACCAGAAAGUCACGGCUAACUACGUGCCAGCAGCCGCGGUAAUACGUAGGUGGCAAGCGUUAUCCGGAUUUAUUGGGCGUAAAGAGAGUGCAGGCGGUUUUCUAAGUCUGAUGUGAAAGCCUUCGGCUUAACCGGAGAAGUGCAUCGGAAACUGGAUAACUUGAGUGCAGAAGAGGGUAGUGGAACUCCAUGUGUAGCGGUGGAAUGCGUAGAUAUAUGGAAGAACACCAGUGGCGAAGGCGGCUACCUGGUCUGCAACUGACGCUGAGACUCGAAAGCAUGGGUAGCGAACAGGAUUAGAUACCCUGGUAGUCCAUGCCGUAAACGAUGAGUGC
rnacentral:rRNA from 1 species